rnacentral:rRNA from 1 species
UACAGAGGGUGCGAGCGUUAAUCGGAAUUACUGGGCGUAAAGGGCGCGUAGGCGGUUAGUUAAGUGUGAUGUGAAAGCCCCGGGCUUAACCUGGGAAGUGCAUCGCAAACUGGUUAACUGGAGUAUAUGAGAGGGUGGCGGAAUUUCCGGUGUAGCGGUGAAAUGCGUAGAGAUCGGAAGGAACGUCGAUGGCGAAGGCAGCCACCUGGCAUAAUACUGACGCUGAUGCGCGAAAGCGUGGGGAGCGAACAGG